AUGUAGUCCCUUCUGUUCAGGAUAACUGUGAGCCGACCUCUGUCUGCAGGUCUCUCAUGAGGGAGAAUCAGUUACAACUUGUCUUCACGCCAGCACUUGACUGACAAGGCCACAAGUCAAUCCCAUGAGGCAUCAGGACAGGGGUUAGAACGAGGGAGGAACCUGGUCAGUGUCUUCUGUUCACCUGGGACUAUCCAACAGACAAAUUUGUGUCUUCACGUACCUUGAUAAAAUUUUGUCAUGACUCCAGGAACAGUGCUAACCAGUAUCAGAGACCUGCAGAAACAGACUACCACAAUUUAUAAAGAAAAACCAAAAGAACUGUGAAUGCUGUAAAUCAGAAACAGAAACAAAAAUUGCUGGAAAAGCUCAUCCGGUCUGGCAGCAUCCAUGGAGAGAAAGCAGAGUUAACGUUUUGGGUCCAGUGAUCCUUCCUCAGAACUGAUUUUGUACCACAAUUUAUAAUGAGGGAAAUCUCCAUCAAGUCACAUCUUUAAGUCAUCACUUGUAUGCAAAGGUCUCCCAGCAACUUCUUGUAGCUAUAACUGUAAUAGAGUUAUAAAACCAUACAUCAUGGAAUCAGACGCUUCGGUCCAACCAGUCCUGCCUGAAUGUAAUGCCAAACUAAACUAGUCCCACCUGCCUGAUCCUGGCCCGUAUCUUUCCUAUUCAUGUACUUAUCUAAAUGUCUUUUAGACGUUGCAAUUGUGCCCAUCAGUUCUUCAGGAAGCUCAUUCCACAUGCGAACCACGCUCUGUGUAAACCAUUUGCCCCUCAUGUCCUUUUUAAAUGUCUCUCCUCUCACCUUAAAAAUGUGUCCCUCGUCUUGAACUCCCCCGUCCCAGGGAAAAGUCAUUUACAAUUAACCCUAUCCAUACCCCUUAAUUCUGUAAAGACGCCUCUCAUCGCCUACGCUCCAAUACUUUUGUCCUAUCUCGAGCUGCUCAGAUCUGCCCAUUAUUAUCUGAAGAAGAUAUUGCAGAUGUUCAGCUCUCGAUCCUUCAUGAGCUGGCUUUGGGAAAUUGACACUGGUUGCUCCUGAUCAGUUUCUGUUUCUUGAAGUGUGUUGGGAUUGUGUUUUGGCGUUGUGGAUUCCUGUACUUCACCUAC